AGCUCAGUGGGUAGAGCAGGAAACAGUCUCUUAUCGCUUGUAGCCUUGCUUUUAAAUUACUAAAACAGGAUGCCGUAAAACAGGGUUACUUCGUUAAAGUGGUCACCACGGGUUCGAAUCCCGUACGAU
rnacentral:tRNA from 1 species